CAAAGAACCCCAGAAUGAAGACU
rnacentral:piRNA from 1 species